rnacentral:rRNA from 1 species
UACGAAGGGGGCUAGCGUUGCUCGGAAUCACUGGGCGUAAAGCGCACGUAGGCGGAUCUUUAAGUCAGGGGUGAAAUCCCAAGGCUCAACCUUGGAACUGCCUUUGAUACUGGGGAUCUCGAGUCCGGAAGAGGUGAGUGGAACUGCGAGUGUAGAGGUGAAAUUCGUAGAUAUUCGCAAGAACACCAGUGGCGAAGGCGGCUCACUGGUCCGGUACUGACGCUGAGGCGCGAAAGCGUGGGGAGCGAACAGG